GACGAACGCUGGCGGCGUGCUUAACACAUGCAAGUCGAGCGGGGAACCCAUCCCUUCGGGGACGGGGACGAGCGGCGAACGGGUGAGUAACACGUGGGUAAUCUGCCCUCGGUUCUGGGAUAGCCCGGGGAAACCCGGAUUAAUACCGGAUGGCCUCACGAGCCCUCGGGCACGUGAGAAAAGGUAGCUUCGGCCUCCGACCGAGGAUGAGCCCGCGGCGGAUUAGCUUGUUGGCGGGGUAACGGCCCACCAAGGCGACGA
rnacentral:rRNA from 1 species